UACGGAGGGGGCUAGCGUUGUUCGGAAUUACUGGGCGUAAAGCGCACGUAGGCGGCUUUGUAAGUCAGAGGUGAAAUCCCGGGGCUCAACCCCGGAACUGCCUUUGAGACUGCAGUCGCUGGAAUCCAGGAGAGGUGAGUGGAAUUCCGAGUGUAGAGGUGAAAUUCGUAGAUAUUCGGAAGAACACCAGUGGCGAAGGCGGCUCACUGGAGCUGGUAUUGACG
rnacentral:rRNA from 1 species